rfam:Felis catus isolate Cinnamon breed Abyssinian chromosome A3, whole genome shotgun sequence.
GCCUGGGUGGCUCAGUCGGUUAAGCGUCCGACUUCAGCUCAGGUCAUCAUCUCGCAGUUCAUGGGUUCAAUCCCCAUGUCAGGCU